GAAAACUCCGGUGGUACGGGAUGAGCCCGCGUCCGAUUAGCCAGUUGGCGGGGUAACGGCCCACCAAAGCGACGAUCGGUAGCCGGCCUGAGAGGGUGGACGGCCACAUUGGGACUGAGACACGGCCCAAACUCCUACGGGAGGCAGCAGUGGGGAAUAUUGCACAAUGGGGGAAACCCUGAUGCAGCGACGCCGCGUGAGUGAAGAAGCGCCUCGGCGCGUAAAGCUCUGUCAGCAGGAACGAUAAUGACGGUACCUGAAGAAGAAGCCCCGGCUAACUACGUGCCAGCAGCCGCGGUAAUACGUAGGGGGCAAGCGUUAUCCGGAUUUACUGGGUGUAAAGGGAGCGUAGACGGCGGGGCAAGUCUGGAGUGAAAGGCCGGGGCCCAACCCCGGGACCGCUCUGGAAACUGCCCGGCUGGAGUGCGGGAGAGGUAAGCGGAAUUCCUAGUGUAGCGGUGAAAUGCGUAGAUAUUAGGAGGAACACCAGCGGCGAAGGCGGCUUACUGGACCGUGACUGACGUUGAGGCUCGAAAGCGUGGGGAGCAAACAGGAUUAGAUACCCUGGUAGUCCACGCCGUAAACGAUGAUCACUAGGUGUCGGGGGUUAACG
rnacentral:rRNA from 1 species